GAUGAACGCUGGCGGCAUGCCUAAGACAUGCAAGUCGAACGAGAUGGCCCAGUGAAGGUUGCGUGCUUGCACAAGACUGAAUCUGGAUCACCAUCUAGUGGCAGACGGGUGAGUAACACGUGGGUGACCUACCUUUUCGUUGGGGAUAACAGUUGGAAACGAUUGCUAAUACCGAAUAAAAUAUAAGAGCCAAUUUUAUAUUGAAAGGAGCCUUUAAAGCUUCGCGAUUAGAUGGGCCUGCGGCGUAUUAACUUGUUGGUGAGGUAACGGCUCACCAAGGUAACGAUGCGUAGCCGAACUGAGAGGUUGAUCGGCCACACUGGGACUGAGACACGGCCCAGACUCCUACGGGAGACAGCAGUUAGGAAUAUUCGUCAAUGGGGGAAACCCUGAACGAGCAAUGCCGCGUGAGUGAUGACGGUCCUUUGGAUUGUAAGACUCUGUUGUAUGGAAAAAAAUGACUAGGUUAGGAAAUGAACCUAGUGUGAUGGUACCAUACCAGAAAGC
rnacentral:rRNA from 1 species